AUGCGUUGGUGGAAAUUAUGUGCACCGAAGUGCAAAGGAGGUAUGGGGUUUAGAGACAUCCACUGUUUUAAUUUGGCUCUUCUAGCAAAACAAGCAUGGAGGUUAAUAGAUAAUCCAGAUUCUUUGUGUGGUACAGUUCCGAAGGCAAAGUAUUUUCCUAAUGGAGAUUUGCUCAAUGCUAAAUUAAAAAAGGGAGCUUCCUUCCUAGACAUGAUCUUAAGGAGCUGCCUGUGUUUGUCCGUUUGA
rnacentral:rRNA from 1 species